AUCAACUGCUGCUCGACCUAGCUUGCCUGGUGCUCUGAUUGCUUUGUGAGCUCCUGCGGCAGCAGACAAGCUAGGCUGAGCAGCAGUUGGUCAGAUAA